UACGUAGGGUGCAAGCGUUAAUCGGAAUUACUGGGCGUAAAGCGUGCGCAGGCGGUUUUGUAAGUCUGUCGUGAAAUCCCCGGGCUUAACCUGGGAAUUGCGCUUGAAACUAGCGGGCUUGAGUGUGGCAGAGGGGGGUGGAAUUCCACGUGUAGCAGUGAAAUGCGUAGAGAUGUGGAGGAACACCGAUGGCGAAGGCAGCCCCCUGGGUCAACACUGACGCUCAUGCACGAAAGCGUGGGGAGCAAACAGG
rnacentral:rRNA from 1 species